GACGCACUUGAAAGAGACAUUUGAGACACAAAGCAGAGUGACCAGUCCAACACUGACAGGAAGAUGUGUCGCUCACUGCUCAUCCUGCUGCUCAUCGCUGGAGCUCUGCUGAUCUCUACUGAGGGUCAGCAGGAUUAUCACAAGCUCACUGGUAUAUACAAGGAUGCUGUUGACAAGGCAAUUCAACACUGCAAUGAAAAAUCCUCAAAGCAUGUUAAUUUCCUUGGCUUCCUUCCUGAUUCAGAGAAAUCUGAUCCAUUUUACAUUGAGCUUCACUUGAAAGUCACCACCUGCACAAAAACAGAAAAGACCACACAUCGAGAUGACUGCCCAUUUAUGGACCGAAGGCCAAAAAUCAACUGUGCUGUUUGCAAUAAAGGGAUUGAGUCCGGCCUCGAC